GCGCGCCUGUAGCAAUACAGGUGGCGCACGGCGCACGGGUGCGUAACACGUGGGUAAUCUGCCCUUCGAUGGGGAAUAACUCCGGGAAACCGAAGCUAAUUCCGCAUAACAUUCCUUGAACUUCGGUUUGGGGACUCAAAGCCGUAAGGCGUCGGAGGAGGAACCCGCGCACGAUUAGCUAGUUGGUAGGGUAACGGCCUACCAAGGCUUUGAUCGUUAGCUGGUCUGAGAGGAUGGCCAGCCACACUGGAACUGAGACACGGUCCAGACUCCUACGGGAGGCAGCAGUGGGGAAUCUUGCACAAUGGGCGAAAGCCUGAUGCAGCGACGCCGCGUGGGGGAUGAAGCUUUUCGGAGUGUAAACCCCUUUCGACCCGGACGAAUGUCCCGCAAGGGAACUGACGGUACGGGUAUAAGAAGCCCCGGCUAACUACGUGCCAGCAGCCGCGGUAAGACGUGGGGGGCCAGCGUUGCUCGGAAUUACUGGGUGUAAAGGGUUCGUAGGCGGUGUAGCAAGUCGGGAGUGAAAUCUCUGGGCUCAACCCAGAGACUGCUUCCGAAACUGCUGUGCUUGAGUGUGGGAGAGGCGCGUGGAAUUGCAGGUGUAGCGGUGAAAUGCGUAGAUAUCUGCAGGAACACCCGUGGCG
rnacentral:rRNA from 1 species